GAGACGCUUCUGCGAUUCGCCUAAUCUGGGCCAUUGAUUUGCGAUCGGAUGGUCCGCAGGCACCCAGGGGUGGACGGUAUUUGAAAUACCGUCCACCCUUUUGGCCUUUGGGUUCCAACUCCGUCCGCGCCCGCACUGCCUCAGGCCGCGGCUCGCCGGAGCGCGGAGCGGCGGAGCAUUCAGGCGGCGCAUGGACCUAGCGGCGACCGCGCUGCUGUAGUAGGGCACUCCGCGGAGCACGCGUGUUUCCCGCCACCAAGCUCGGUGAUUGCGAGCCUUGCCUGCCUCGCCAGUUCCAUGCCCGAGCCGCUCCUGGUCGCCUCCAGUCCUGGCGGCGCGUCUAGUGCGCGCCGCACCGGGACAAGCCUCGCCGCUGCUCAUCCACAGGAGAAGGGGCACGGGCGCACUGCGACCUAGCAGCAUCAAUUGAGGCCAAUGGCGCGGCGCGACAGCGGCCGCGUGGGAGAGCCGCACGUGAGGCGCUCGACGAAAUGGCCAGGGUCACUCAAGGAGCGUCCCGCUGGCGGUGGUGUACGGCAAGUCGUGCGGGCUUGGAAGGUCCAUGCCGGUAGGUUGUUCAGCCAUUACCCGUGGCCGUGGGCGGUGGGCUUAGCGGAGAGUUCACUUCUUCAUGAUGUAAGAGGUGUCCUGGUGGGAUGUCAGUGCGCAAGAGCCAAGAGCAGAGGACAUUUCUCUGUGGAAGGUCAGUUGGAAGAUGUCACUUGAAAACUUGAAAUUUUCCUUCCAUUCCAAGAUACUGGCACAUGUACCUCUGUAACUCCGUUCCAUGUCAGUGUUGAGUGUCCUCUUCAGAGUAUGCAGAUACGGUGGACGUGAUGAAAAUUUUAUGUCAAGUGCAAGUUUGGAAGAGCCGGUCAAGACUCCGUCUUAUGGCUCUCAUGCCCCAAUGCAAGGUCAGGAGAGUAGAACUAGCUCCAUGCAAUCCUUCCUGAUCCAUGUGAUCCUUUGUGCAACUGCUCUCGAUAUGAAUGCUCUGUCAAACAAAAUUACUGGAGAAAUUUCAAGUAAGUUCACUUUUUUCUCUGGAUAUUACUGUCAGUAGGGUAUCCUGAUUUCAUUGGUAAAUUUAUAUUUCAACUGUUCAAAUGGUA